rnacentral:rRNA from 1 species
AAUAUUGCACAAUGGGGGAAACCCUGAUGCAGCGACGCCGCGUGAGCGAAGAAGGCCUUAGGGUCGUAAAGCUCUGUCCUAAGGGAAGAAACGGACGGGACCGUAGGAGGAAGCCACGGCUAACUACGUGCAAGCAGCCGCGGUAAUACGAAGGGGGCGAGCGUUUUGCGGAAUUAUUGGGCGUAAAGGGUGCGUAGGCGGCCUUUUAAGUCAGAUGUGAAAGACUACGGCUUAACCGUAGGUAGCAUUUGAAGCUAAAAGGCUUGAGUGCAGGAGAAGAGAGUGGAAGUCCUAGUGUAGCGGUGAAAUGCGUAGAUAUUAGGAGGAACACCAGUGGCGAAGGCGACUCUCUGGACUGCAACUGACGCUGAGGCACGAAAGCGUGGGGAGCGAAC